CGCAAGCCUGACGGAGCAAUACCGCGUGAGGGAGGAAGGCCUUUGGGUUGUAACCCCCUUUCCUAAAGGAAAAAACCCUAACGGACCUUAAGGAACCACCUCCGCUAACUCCCGGGCCACCACCCCCGGAAUACCGAAGAAGGCAGCCGUAUUCCGAAAUUAUGGGCCGAAAACCGCCCCCAGGCGGAUUAAUAAUCCGGCGGCCAAAAACCCCACUUCACUGGCGAAAAGGCAUGGAAACUGGUAAACUUAAAUAACGGAAGGGGAAAAGGAAAUUCCCAUGGAACCGUGAAAUGGCUAAAAGAUGGGAAAAACCACCAUGGGCAAAGCCCUCCUACGGGGCCGAACUUAACCCUCAGGAACAAAGCCAAGGGAACC
rnacentral:rRNA from 1 species